rnacentral:ribozyme from 1 species
UGCCCAGCAACUCCUAUCCCUACCUCCACGCGGUACCGGCCGGAAACUAUGAGCAAUCUUAGGGAAGAUCGGGUAACCAACCCCGGUGGGAACUUUGGUCGUAGGCUGACAGGGAAGG